GAUGAACGCUGGCGGCGCGCCUAACACAUGCAAGUCGAACGAUUAAAGCACCUUCGGGUGUGUAUAAAGUGGCGAACGGCUGAGUAACACGUGGGCAACCUGCCCCUUUCAUUGGGAUAGCCACGGGAAACCGUGGAUAAUACCGAAUACUUCGAGACUUCCGCAUGGAAGACUCGAGAAAGCUCCGGCGGAGAGGGAUGGGCCCGCGGCCUGUUAGCUUGUUGGUGGGGUAACGGCCUACCAAGGCAAUGAUGGGUAGCUGGGUUGAGAGACCGACCAGCCAGAUUGGGACUGAGACACGGCCCAGACUCCUACGGGAGGCAGCAGUGGGGAAUCUUGCACAAUGGGCGGAAGCCUGAUGCAGCGACGCCGCGUGCGGGAUGAAGGCCUUCGGGUUGUAAACCGCUUUCAGCAGGGACGAGGCGAAAGUGACGGUACCUGCAGAAGAAGCCCCGGCUAACUACGUG
rnacentral:rRNA from 1 species